rnacentral:misc_RNA from 1 species
GGUCAUGCGACCCACACCUAAUGUGAAUGCGCAUCCUUUUCCUGUAUUUAAUGGUUUUCCCUCCUAUGCCCCCUUCCAAAAGGUGAAACAAUGGAUAAAUAUGCACAGACCAAGUGCCUCUUCUUGUCAAUGACUGGCUGUGAUUUUACCUCUCCGUGUGUUUGAAAAUUCCAACAAGGGAUACCAUUUGAAAAAUUCAGAAAAUAAAUGUUCCCAUCAUAGCAUCCGACAAUAACCUGAGAAAAAUCAUCUAGAAUUGCUGCAGAACUCUCAACACGCCCUUGUAAUUUGAUCUCCCACAAAACAAGACCACUUGUUGCAUCAAUGCAAUAGAAUUUGUGGGAGUGAGCUCCGAUAAGCAGAUACACACUUCUUUCUUUAAAUACAACUAGUGGUGAUGCAUCAACGCAAGAUUCCAUGUUGACCAUCCACUGUUCUCGCAUGAAACCUCUUU